AGUGAACGCUGGCGGUGGGCCUAACACAUGCAAGUCGAACGGCAGCACAGUAAGAGCUUGCUCUUACGGGUGGCGAGUGGCGGACGGGUGAGGAACACAUCGGAAUCUACUUUUUCGUGGGGGAUAACGUAGGGAAACUUACGCUAAUACCGCAUACGACCUACGGGUGAAAGCAGGGGAUCUUCGGACCUUGCGCGAUUGAAUGAGCCGAUGUCGGAUUAGCUAGUUGGCGGGGUAAAGGCCCACCAAGGCGACGAUCCGUAGCUGGUCUGAGAGGAUGAUCAGCCACACUGGAACUGAGACACGGUCCAGACUCCUACGGGAGGCAGCAGUGGGGAAUAUUGGACAAUGGGCGCAAGCCUGAUCCAGCCAUACCGCGUGGGUGAAGAAGGCCUUCGGGUUGUAAAGCCCUUUUGUUGGGAAAGAAAAGCAGCAGGUUAAUACCCCGCUGUUCUGACGGUACCCAAAGAAUAAGCACCGGCUAACUUCGUG
rnacentral:rRNA from 1 species